rnacentral:rRNA from 1 species
AUGGGCCCUCUUGUGGUAGACCCACAUGUCAUCGGUGUAACUAUUUACACUCCGGAGGACGGUGCCUAUAUCCUAGUAGUAGUACUAGUAGAAUUGACAUUUAAUGCACUUUAUUCCCCGUCUUCCACUCUUCUUCCUCCUCUCUUCUUCUUCCUUCUCUCUUCCCCAUCGUCCGCCUCACACCAUUUACCCCCGCUCACUGCUCGCCCGCCCACGCCAUCUUCCUUGGUAGCUCGCGCGUACCAUAUCCCCCCGCUCACUGCCCGGCCACACGAGGAGAAGCUUCUUCGCUCGCCUGCCCGAAUCCACUUCCCCGUUGGUCGCAGGCACCGAAAACCCCAAUGGCAUAACCGACUGACACUACCAUAUAACUGGAAUUACCGAUGCAAGUCGAAGAAGGAUUUGCCGGUGCUGCCGGCUGGCGUCAAGUUCGAUCCCACAGAUCAGGAGCUGAUCGAGCACCUUGAGGCCAAAGUGAGUGUUGACAGCGCGAGAUUUCAAUCUCUCAUCGAUUUGUUCAUACCAACCAUCGACAGCGAGAACGACAUAUGCUACACCCAACCUGAGAAACUUCCAGCAAAAAAGGUUCUGGUGCUGCACACCAACAAGAACUUCGACCAGCAGAGGACCAACUGGGUGAUGCACCAGUACCACAUCGGGGACCUGGAGCAAGAGAAGGAGCGGGAGCUGGUCCUCUGCAAGAUUUUCUACCAGACGAACACUAGGGCCAGGAGUAGUUUGGUAUUGGUAGUUGUACUACCUUGUCGUCCACAAGUUGGUAUUGUUGUUAAUGAUCUUUUGGCCCAGCCCAUGACGAUAACGGGGCACAAAGAUCCAGCAGGUAUCUACUGGCCUCUGGCCCUCCAGCGUUAG